rnacentral:lncRNA from 1 species
AUAUAUGUCUAUUGCAAGAAAGAAAAUUACAAAAGGUAUAUAUUUAGGUAAAAUGGCCUUCUAGUGGGGAAUAAGGGUUAUUUGGAGGUAUGUUAAUUAUAUGGAAAGUUGGGUUGUUAUAUUUGAACUACAGUUUUAGGGUGGAAUGUUUUGUAGUCAUUAAUGUAGAGUUGUAAGGGUGUCUUAUAAUAUUGUAAAUGUAUAUUCUUCAUACAAUUUAGAGAAAUAAAGAAAUAU